rnacentral:rRNA from 1 species
UACGUAGGGUUCAAGCGUUAUCCGGAAUUACUGGGCGUAAAGCGUCCGCAGGCGGAAAUUUAAGUGAGAUGCGAAAUCUAGCGGCUCAACCGUUUAGACUGUAUCUCAAACUGGAUUUCUAGAGGAUGGCAGAGGCAAGUGGAACUUACGGUGUAGCAGUGAAAUGUGUAGAUAUCGUAAAGAACACCUAUGGCGAAGGCAGCUUGCUGGGCCAUUCCUGACGCUCAGGGACGAAAGCGUGGGGAGCAAACAGG